CGCACUUCCAUUUGGAACGUUGGCCUUUUCUAAUUGAGGGGACAAAGUUUUGUUCGCUCAGGAAAGAAAUAUUAAGGCCAAAAGCCUUGUGUGAGAGGAAGAGGACCAGGCUCCGUCAGUUAAGACAAAUCGAUUGAACUCAAUAAUGGCGAGCAAACCAGAGUGAUUAAAGAACCAAGAACAUCGAUAAUUCUGGAAUAACAGACGGACUGUCUGUGGGGUAGGACUGUGUCAGUCAUUGGAUUGAUACAUACAUUUUUCUUUUUCUUUCAAAAAGUGCACUCCUACGAACAUUGGGAGAAGAAAACUAUUGCAAUAGUAAAAAUUUAAGACAUUGAAGUAGUUGCAAUUGCAGCUAAUAUUGGACAAAUUUUUACUUUGACGAAACAAUUGACUGAGACCGAAUAGGACUAUUUUUUGUUGUUGUUUAUUUUAAAGUUUUAUUACCAGUUCAUUGUUGUUAAAUGUUAAAAUAAGUUCAUUGUAGGCCUGCAGCUAUCGAUUAUUUUAGUAGUCGAUUAAUCGACGAACCAUUUAGUUUGAUUAAUCGAGUAAUCAGUUCAGGAACAUAAAAAAAUACCUGAGCUGAGCCUCAAACGGUAUAAAUGAGUAUCUAUGUACAACAAAAGAACAGUUGGCUAACUUACAUAGCAAAAGUCUGCUAACUUUAAUGCUAACGUUUUUACAAUGCUCUUAACAAAUGGUUCGGACACAUACUCCCACAAAAAUUUCUAAAUAUACCUAUGAAGUAAAUCACGAAUGCAUUAAAAAAAACAUUAGCUCAAACAAAAACCAAGCUAAUGUUGGUCUUAACAGGGAGCAAAUGGAUUCAGCCAUGUGAAAUGAAGUACAAUAGAGGGCAGUUUAUCCACCCAACUCAAUCAAACUAAAUGGAAACACUUUCAAAACAUACCUUUACAACGCCACUUUAAUUAAAUAAAUGAAUACUCGAAGUAGCAAAAUUUAAUUCUAAUCUUUUUUUUCUAAUCAAAUACUCGAGUUAAUUGAUUAAUCGUUGCAGCACUAGUUCAUUGUAUUGUUCAUUAAAAAAAUAUACAAAAGUAGGAUUCCACCUGCCUAAACCUGAUGUUUAUUGUUCUCAUUGUAUCGAAACCAAUUAAGCCGAACCUAGAACGCAGCUCCUAUCGUUGUACAUAACAGUCCCUGACAAAAG